rnacentral:rRNA from 1 species
CCUACGGGAGGCAGCAGUGAGGAAUAUUGGUCAAUGGACGGAAGUCUGAACCAGCCAUGCCGCGUGAAGGAAGACGGCCCUAUGAGUUGUAAACUGCUUUUGUAAAAGGGUAAACCUGAAUACGUGUAUUCAGCUGAAAGUACUGUAUGAAUAAGGAUCGGCUAACUCCGUGCCAGCAGCCGCGGUAAUACGGAGGAUCCAAGCGUUAUCCGGAUUUAUUGGGUUUAAAGGGAGCGUAGGCGGGUUGCUAAGUUAGAGGUGAAAGUUCCGAGCUUAACUCGGGAAUUGCCUUUAAUACUGGUGACCUAGAGAGUAGAUGCGGUAGGCGGAAUGCAUGGUGUAGCGGUGAAAUGCUUAGAGAUCAUACAGAACACCGAUUGCGAAGGCAGCUUACUAAUCU